rnacentral:rRNA from 1 species
GAGUCGGCCUGCGCGGAAGAUGUAACGGGGCUAAACCAUGCACCGAAGCUGCGGCAGCGACACUGUGUGUUGUUGGGUAGGGGAGCGUUCUGUAAGCCUGUGAAGGUGUGUCGUGAGGCAUGCUGGAGGUAUCAGAAGUGCGAAUGCUGACAUAAGUAACGAUAAAGCGGGUGAAAAGCCCGCUCGCCGGAAGACCAAGGGUUCCUGUCCAACGUUAAUCGGGGCAGGGUGAGUCGACCCCUAAGGCGAGGCCGAAAGGCGUAGUCGAUGGGAAACGGGUUAAUAUUCCCGUACUUGGUGUUACUGCGAAGGGGGGACGGAGAAGGCUAUGUUGGCCGGGCGACGGUUGUCCCGGUUUAAGCGUGUAGGUGUGUGUUCCAGGUAAAUCCGGUUCACUUUAACACUGAGGCGUGACGACGAGGCACUACGGUGCUGAAGCAACAAAUGCCCUGCUUCCAGGAAAAGCCUCUAAGCAUCAGGUAACAUCAAAUCGUACCCCAAACCGACACAGGUGGUCAGGUAGAGAAUACCAAGGCGCUUGAGAGAACUCGGGUGAAGGAACUAGGCAAAAUGGUGCCGUAACUUCGGGAGAAGGCACGCUGACACGUAGGUGAAGUGAUUUACUCAUGGAGCUGAAGUCAGUCGAAGAUACCAGCUGGCUGCAACUGUUUAUUAAAAACACAGCACUGUGCAAACACGAAAGUGGACGUAUACGGUGUGACGCCUGCCCGGUGCCGGAAGGUUAAUUGAUGGGGUCAGCGCAAGCGAAGCUCCUGAUCGAAGCCCCGGUAAACGGCGGCCGUAACUAUAACGGUCCUAAGGUAGCGAAAUUCCUUGUCGGGUAAGUUCCGACCUGCACGAAUGGCGUAAUGAUGGCCAGGCUGUCUCCACCCGAGACUCAGUGAAAUUGAACUCGCUGUGAAGAUGCAGUGUACCCGCGGCAAGACGGAAAGACCCCGUGAACCUUUACUAUAGCUUGACACUGAACAUUGAGCCUUGAUGUGUAGGAUAGGUGGGAGGCUUUGAAGUGUGGACGCCAGUCUGCAUGGAGCCGACCUUGAAAUACCACCCUUUAAUGUUUGAUGUUCUAACGUGGACCCGUUACCCGGGUUGCGGACAGUGUCUGGUGGGUAGUUUGACUGGGGCGGUCUCCUCC